UGUAUUCACUACUGUAAGUCGCUCUGGACAAGAGCGUCUGCUAAAUGACUUAAA
rfam:Salmo salar isolate Sally breed double haploid chromosome ssa19, whole genome shotgun sequence.